rnacentral:tRNA from 1 species
AUUUUAGUAAAUUAAUACAUGAGACUUUGACACUCAAGAGAGUAGUUAAAAUCUACUAAAU